AGCAUCUUCAUAACCCGUCCCCCACCUUCUCCAUCAGCCUCACCCCUCACCAUUUCCCUUUGUUUCACGGUCCAGCGGUGUCUGAUUGCUCUCAGCUGAAAGUAGUUAGUGCCUGCUCACACUUUCACACCGGGAACAUGAGGAUCCCCCUGCUGGGACGUGGAAUCUUCCUGUCCCCACGCCUCCUCUUCAGCUCUCAGCCCCUCUGUGAAGCCAUCCUCAGCUCCUCAGGCUGGGCAGAUUCCCCACCAUUGGUCCCCAGAGCACUUGGGCACCCAUCUUCAUAUCAGUGUUUCUCAAACUUUUCCUGAAUGUAAGAUUCAACCACAAUGUCUGAUAAAGAACAGAUUCCAGAACCUCAGCGGUUCCACAGAAGCCUGGCAAUCUGCAUGUUAAACUAGCGGCCUAGGGGAGUCUCAUCUUCCCAAGGGUCUUGGGAUCACUGCUUUGUAUCACAGCACUUCUCUUGCAACGAUUUGAGUUAUCUGCCCUCCACAGCCUACAAUCUGCAUCUGCUCAUGACUGCAUUCCUGGUCACGGCACAUGCUCAAAUCAGGGAAAGAAGCAGAAUAUGAAGGAACGACAAUUCUCAAGCAUAUGUAUGCGUCUUAAGAAGCUUUGGAGAAAUGUUAUCUUUCCCCAGCAGCAUUGAUAUUUUCAUCUGCAAUGAGAAAAGUACAGUUAUACCAAACCAAGAAGUGGGCAAGCAGACAAGACAUGCGCCAUCGUGAUCAGCGGACAAUGACACAUGAAGGGAGGGAGGACUGCAGUCUCAGUUGGCCCUCACUCAGGUAUUAAAAUCUUUAUUAAAACUCUAAGAUAUUUUUAUUGCAUUACUUGUUUAAAAGCUUUAGUGAACAUUCCACGUCACUCAAUUCCUGCUUUUAAAGUGUACAAUGCAGUUUUUAGCAGACUCACAGAGUUGUGUAACCAUAACCAUCAUAAAUUUUAGAACAUUUUUGUCACUCCAGAACAAA